rnacentral:lncRNA from 1 species
UUUUAAAAUAAAUAUCACAUAUUCCCUCGAUUUCUAAAUAUAAUCGAGGGAAAGAAUAAUUCAGGUCAUGAUUCAAAUCCCAAUAAUAGCCGUAUAUAUUUUUAUUUCUUUAAAAGUGAUACUUUUCUUUUCAUUUUAUUUUUUAUUUUUUAUUUUUAAAUUAAUGAUCUAUUCCUUCGGUUAUCUUUAAUAACCGAGAAAUUAAAUAAUCAAAUUUUACUAUAAAAACACCUGUUAAUCAGAUUGUACCAUAAACCUAACUUAUAUGUAAUCGCUCCA